GGGUUAGAAGUGUCAUUGGGGAGAAUUAAACUGUGGUUUAGGGAUUCAAAGUUACAACUUCAGACCAUCUAUACUGACCAGAGGCUAUUAGCUCAAGUGAAAAGGACCAUGACCAUUGUGUCAGAGGUCUCCCGUUCAGGUGACCGCUGGGACAAAACUAAUACUACAUUUGGUUUCGAAUUUGAGAAUUACGGAAUUUGACUCCGGCCUUUCUGGUAUUAAAAAAAGUAUGAUGUGAUUUAUUUUUGGAUAUAGCUUUACAAAUCAUAGUUUUUUUUUUUUUUGAACUUUACAAAUCAUAGUUUUUGUUGUCUUACGUGUCAUCUUUAUUAUCACAUCCGCAGGUUAAUCUAGAACCCAACAAACGUUCACAUAUCAUCUUAGUCUAAUUAACCAGAAUCUAUGACAGCAAAGAAUAUAAAAGAUUACAUCUAAGAACUAAUUUUAUAUCAUUCGAUCUUGUUUAUAAAUACAUUUUUCAGCACCGAUCAUAUCAAUUGCUUGUUCUGCGCUAACUAAUUAAGCAACAAUCAUUUGGAAUUUUAGGAGAUGGAUUAUGUUAUUUCAACAGUAAAAAUUGUUUUGUUGAUUUAUGUGGUCCCUCUGUUAUCUCAUUUUCACAUAAACUAAACUAGAUUUUGUUUGAUUCGGAGAUCUUGUAACCCAGUGAGUGGUUAAGACUUCAAGAUCUCACGUGACGCAGCAUUGAGUCAUCAACGAGAAUUACACGGCUUGGUUUUAUUAUGAACCAUAC
rnacentral:lncRNA from 1 species